GUGUUCCCCCAUUCAGCAGCAUGCACACUACAAUUGGAACAAUACAGAAAAGAUUAGUUUGGCAACGAUGACAUGCAAAUUCAAUUCAUAAAAUAUUU
rnacentral:snRNA from 1 species